rnacentral:rRNA from 1 species
UGGGGAAUUUUGGACAAUGGGCGAAAGCCUGAUCCAGCCAUGCCGCGUGAGUGAAGAAGGCCUUCGGGUUGUAAAGCUCUUUUAGUCGGAAAGAAAGAGUUGCAAUGAAUAAUUGUGAUUUAUGACGGUACCGACAGAAAAAGCACCGGCUAACUACGUGCCAGCAGCCGCGGUAAUACGUAGGGUGCGAGCGUUAAUCGGAAUUACUGGGCGUAAAGGGUGCGCAGGCGGUCUUGCAAGUCAGAUGUGAAAGCCCCGGGCUUAACCUGGGAAUUGCGUUUGAAACUACAAGGCUAGAGUGCAGCAGAGGGGAGUGGAAUUCCAUGUGUAGCAGUGAAAUGCGUAGAGA